rnacentral:lncRNA from 1 species
CGCUGCUUCUGAUGGCAGUAAUGAUAGAUCUACUGAGGGAUGCUAAACUUUUGGUAUCCACUGAAGGAUAUCCAGAAGGUACACCUACUGAUGGGUGGUGGAAGGUAGUGCACUUACUGACAAGUGCUAACCAGGUUUGGGUCAGGCUCGUGACGUUAAACAAGCGCUACUAGGAGAAUCAUUCUUAGGACAUGCUACAGCUUCAACCCACUUACUCACAUAAUCC